CGGUGGCCAUGGAAGUCGGUACCCGCUAAGGAGUGUGUAACAACUCACCUGCCGAAUCAACUAGCCCUGAAAAUGGAUGGCGCUUAAGCGAGAGACCUAUACUCCGCCGUCGCGGCAUGUGCGUUGUCUAGCGCCAGGUCGCGACGAGUAGGAAGGACGUGGCGGUUGCGUUGAAGGCUAUGAGCGUAGGCUCGGCUGGAGCUUCCGUCAGUGCAGAUCGUAAUGGUAGUAGCAAAUAUUCAAGUUCGAUCCUUGAAGACUGAAGUGGAGAAGGGUUCCACGUGAACAGUAGUUGGAUGUGGGUCAGUCGAUCCUAAGGUACUGGCGAAAGCCUUGUAUCAUCGGUGGCGUAAAAGCUUGCUUUUUGUCCCCGCCCGUCGAAAGGGAAUAGGGUUAAUAUUCCCUAACUGAGAUGCAAAGAUUGUGUUCUUCGGAGCACAAGCGCGGUAACGCGUUCGAACUUGGUAAGUCGCUCAGAGACCGAGCUAGAGUUUUCUUCUCUAGUUAAGGAACGGACUCCCUGGAAUUGGUUCAGCCAGAGAUGGGGACGUUGUUUCCGAAAAGCACCGCGGUUUCUGUGGUGUCUCGUGCUCUCUGAACGGCCCUUUAAACACCAAGGGAGGCUAUUAAUUUGCACUCAAUCGUACCGAUAUCCGCAUUAGGUCUCCAAGGUGAACAGCCUCUAGUCGAUAGAAUAAUGUAGGUAAGGGAAGUCGGCAAACUAGAUCCGUAACUUCGGGAAAAGGAUUGGCUCCAGUGGUCGGAACGGUUGGCCAGUUGGUUGAUGCUUGUCCGGCGCUGUUCUGUCUGCUUGAUGCUUUCGGGCUGACGGCGGCCUAGUGAUAGUGCUUGCUUGUUGACGCUUUCUGGUGUGUGCUUUGACCUCGGUCUUAGUAUCCUGAUCGUUCAUCUAAACGACUAAACUGGAACCGGUACGGACUCAGGGAAUCCGACUGUCUAAUUAAAACAGAGGUGACAGAUGGUCCUUGCGGACGCUGACUGUCACUGAUUUCUGCCCAGUGCUCUGAAUGUUAAAUCGUAGUAAUUCGAGUAAGCGCGGGUAAACGGCGGGAGUAACUAUGACUCUCUUAAGGUAGCCAAAUGCCUCGUCAUUUAAUUGUUGACGCGCAUGAAUGGAUUAACGAGAUUCCUACUGUCCCUAACUACUAUCUAGCGAAACCACAGCCAAGGGAACGGGCUUGGCAAAAAUAGCGGGGAAAGAAGACCCUGUUGAGCUUGACUCUAGUUUGACAUUGUGAAGAGUCAUGAGAGGUGUAGCAUAGGUGGGAGUCUUCGGACGCCAAUGAAAUACCACCACUUUCAUCGACUCUUUACUUAUUCGGUUAAAAGAGAAUUGGUCGCAAGGCCUCUUUUCGAAGUAUUAAGCGG
rnacentral:ncRNA from 1 species